GCCAAGGGGGCCAAGGGGGCCCCAAGGGGCCCGGAGAUAAUUGAAAAGCGAUGAUAAUACCUAAAGCCCUAGGCUGCGUUCCGUUUCACGCAUCGAGCGCAUCGAUCGUAACCAAUGCGUUGCGUGCAUUGAUAUCGUUCCGUUUUCGUUAAUGCGUCUAUGCACUUUUGGAAACGGAACGACUUUUGAUGCGUUUGAUGUGAAAGGAAAAAUGGAUGCUACUAUGGUCACAAUGGACAUCGAAACAUUGACAACAAUAGCCUUAUUUUCAUUAGUGAAUGAUGAUGUUACGUCCUGGACAAGCAUAGAACAUGCAAUGUCUAGAUUUGUUUGGUUUACUUCGGAUCAGCGCUGUUCUUGUCCAAAUCCUUAUUAUUUGAAUCUGUUUCCUUUGGAGAUUUUAUUCUCUCUCGGGACCGAAGAUUUAGAUGGAUCUGUUUUGAAAACAGCCAGGUCGAGCGUGCCUGGAUUAUAAUAACUUUUCAACAGACGUCUAAAUUGAAUCCGCCGUCCGGCUCUUCUUGUUCUUUUCAGCAUGAGAGAUUUUUAGCACAACACUCUUAAAGUAAGGAAGAGAAGAACUGUGCUCGUGGUUCAAGCACUGAGUUCUGGGAAAAAGGGAGGAAUGGUGCUCGUGGUUCAAGCACAACACUCUUAAGGUAAAAAAAAGAAGAACGAUGCUCGUGGUUCAAGCACGGCGUUCUGGAAAAAGAAUGAAGAUGAUAAGAGGGAAGAGAGGCUCAAGACCCCUUAGCAAUCGGCUAACAAGAGGCUCAGCGAAAGAUUGUCUGUUGGCUAAUUGGAGGCUAAUAAGAGACUGCUUAGAGAUUGACGAGAGACUGCCUAGCGCGCGAAGGGCCGAGCCCUUUUUAUACCCAAGCCCGACACUAUGGAUAUCAAUUGAGCGUCUUUUCCUAAUUCACCCUUCAUUAUUUAUCGGUUAAAAAAUAUAAAAAUGUUAUUAUCUAGUAAUUAAAAUUAUACUUAAUCAUAUGUAGCGUUUGGUAAUUCAGUUGUCUCGUUGUUGGCUGAUUUAUUAAUAAAAUUAUGUUU
rnacentral:misc_RNA from 1 species